rnacentral:lncRNA from 1 species
UCGGGCUCAAGUCCUGCCCGGCGCACCUGAGUCCCUUCCACAGCCCUUGGUGCUCCGGCCUCCGACAGCGGCGAGGCUGUGGAGAGCGACACUGAUCCCCCAGCCCGCCCACUCUGAAUCGGUGCGCUGGCCCUGGGGAUGUUGGGCCCAGGCCAGAUCCGGGACGGUGACCAUUGCCGUCCCUGCUCCAGAGAAGAGGGCAGGCUCCUGCCGGCCAGGCAAACUGCAGCAGCAACGGUCUGUGAGGACACCCAGCUGGCUGGAGCCAUCACGGGAGCGACUCGGAGGUCCCAGCUCUGGGUGUGUGCCCAGCUCUGGGGACGGACAGGAUCCUGAGCGUGUGACCGGAAGAGCCUUGACUCAGCCCGCAGAUGUCAUCGUUUGUCUCCAGCUUCGUCACAGCAGCUGAUGUGCACUGAACACUCCCUGGCUCGAGCCGCGCUCUCCGCACGCAGAAGGUGUUGGAUUAGAUCAGUGAUCCUCAACUAGGAGCACUUCUGCCCCACCCAGGGGACAUGCAGCAUUGUCUGGAAGUGUGUUGGAAGCCACAACCAGAGGUCCUCCUGGCUAAACAUCCUACACCGCACGGAACAGAGCCAAGACAGCGAUCCUGCCCAACAUGUCAGCAGGCCUGCAGUUGAGAAGCCCUGGGGGGAAACUCAGGCCCAUCUCAAGUUGAAGGCACCAAGAUCACUGCCUGCCCUCAAUGGGUAGGACUGGGAAAAGUCUUCCUGCCACUGUCCCCGCUGCCUUCCUGGGUGAUCCAGUGAGAUUUAAUGGGAUUCCCUCAGAAGCCUCCUCUGAAAGCCUGCAGAGCGAGUGAGGAGCUUCUGGCCAAGCCUCAGGCACAGUCUGACCCUGGAAAGGAAGCACCCAUCCCUCCAGAGACGGCCUUGACCACGCACACGUGCCGCGGAGCUGGGCCCGUGCUCCUGAAGAACAGUCAGCAACACACUCCUCACUUCUCUCUAGUUUGCAUUUUUUCUUGUGAUUUUCCAAACCACACAGUUCUUGGGCAGCACAUUGAAGUGUUUAAAAAUGAGGCAAUAAAAAUAAAUCACUUGUUCUCGGAAGACAGCCGGCUCAUUCCUUGGCAGCCCAUCUCAGCUGACUAGAUGCUGACACAGGGGUGCUGACGCCAGGGCCUGCGGGGCACUGGCCGCCUGGCCCACAGACAGUGCCCUGAAAAGGACCUCAUCACGUCCAUACAAGGACGGCAGGGCGCCAUCUACUGCAGGGGGCCGAAACCGCUUCCCCCUGGAGUUGUGCGGGUGUCUCAAGGGAGCACCUGAGCUCACCGGCGUUAGCUCUGCAAUCUGUCUCUGUAAUAUUUCAACAUGCUUUCUAAUCGUGUAAUUGUCCACAGGCAGCUGCCCAGUAGGCCUGGCCCCCGCUGGGGCCCGUUGGCAUCUGCCUCUCCAUCCAUACCCUUCCUACCCAGGAUCCAGGAUCAGUCCCCAAAGGAUUUCUCAAGGGGGUUACAAAGAGCAGGAAGUGAGCUUUGUCACGGCCACUAAAUCCAGGAAGCCACUUAGGAUUAAUUGAAG